UACAGGGGGUGCAAACGUUGCUCGGAAUCAUUGGGCGUAAAAGCGCACGUAGGCGGUUCGUUAUGUCGGAUGUGAAAGCCCCUUGGCUUAACCGAGGAAGUGCAUCCGAAACUGGCGAGCUAGAGUACUAAAGAGGAUCGCGGAAUUCCCGGUGUAGAGGUGAAAUUCGUAGAUAUCGGGAGGAACACCGGUGGCGAAGGCGGCGAUCUGGGUAGAUACUGACGCUGAGGUGCGAAAAGCGUGGGGAGCAAACAGG
rnacentral:rRNA from 1 species